CACUGCAGCAGUGUGCAGUGAGUUCUAUGCAAUUUUAAUGCUGUAAAUAUUUUUGAUAUAUAUGUUUAAAUUCAUAUUCCACUAGAUUUCUCAUUUUGCACUCUAGCAUUUUCUUAAUCUCUUUCUACAUGAAAUCCCAUAGGUUAGGUUAUGUGCUAAAGUAUAGGUACAGAAAGCUAAUUCAAUAGAGCAAACGUUACGUCCACCCUUUAUUGUUAUAAUUUGUAUAGGAAUGGUCAAGUUCAUUGUUUUGUUCUGUGUAGAGCGCUGGGUAGUACCAGCUUCCUUGUAACUUUUAAUUAGACUGUCUAAUAAGCAGUCUGGCUUGACCAUAAGUUCAGAACCUUUAAAUAGAGAUGCAAAAAGCCAAGAAACUUCAGUUCAUAGUAAAGACACAGAAGAGAGAACUCCAGUUAACGUCAAGAUAUUUCUCGUAUUGAUUGCAACCAAGUGUACUUGUCUUAUAGCCUCCAAUUGUAUUUUAUCUCGGAUUUUGGACCGUGGGAUGACGGAAUAAAGUUCCACAUAAGCCACACUAAAGUCUGUGAAUACAUUUCUUUUGGAGUGAGAGUAUUUGUUAGCCGAAACUCCGUCCGUUUAUCGAGGAUAAAGGGCGGCAGCCACA